rnacentral:lncRNA from 1 species
GAGAAGGCUACGUAGAGAUCUGCCACACAUCCACUGACUGUGUUGCCCUUGGUAACGAGGGAAAAGGAAAGAAAUCCAUUCGGCAGGCCAUUCCAGGUUCGUUGAAUGUUCCUAAGACAUAGUGAUAGUAUUUGAUCCAGAUCUUGGCAGAAUUGCGCUUAUCUGAUGGAGACAGGGGAGACAAUAGGAAGCCAUGACAACAGCUGGUGCCUGAAGGCUGUCCAGUCUGCAGUGGUUGGGUUCAGGGCUAGGACUACAGCAGUAUAGGGUGCACGCACACACAGUUGUCAAAGUCUAACACUGAAGAGGUUUGAAGACAGAAAGCAUCUCUGCUUUCCAGAGAGUAAAGAUGGUCUUCGUGGGAAGUGUGGUAGCAUUAUGAAAUGUGUUCUCAGUGUCCUCCACUAAUUGUGAGAGAUGAGUCCUUUCCUUUGUUAUGGAGCAGCUAUAAAAAGGGAAAGUUUCAGCCAGAUGCAGAGGUUCAAAGAUGUAGUCUCAGCUACUUAAGAUGUCGAGACAGGAAGAUUGAUCGAGUCUAGGAGAGUGAGGUUGGUAUAGGCAGUUUCAAACAUAAUUUGUUUUGUUGACCUUUUCAGCUAAUUCUCUACCCUUCCUCCACUUCCUUAUACCCUUCUACACCCUGUCACUCCUUUUCCAAUUUCACGUUUCAUCUGUUAUAUCUAUUCUAUUACUUCCCCUUCCUUUCCUCAACACCCUUUUUUCCCCGUCCUUUUUAGUUUCAUGUUCGAUUUCUUUUUUUGUUGUUGUUUGUUUAUUUUAAUAAUUCAUUUAUGGAGUUGGAGAGAUGACUCAGCAGUUAAGAGCACUGGCUAGUCUUCUAGAGGACCUGGGUUGAGCCCCUCCAGUCAUAUCGCAGCUAACAACUGUCUAUAGCUUGAGUCUUAGGGGAUCUGAUGUUUUCUUAUGGCUUCUCUGAACACUAUAUGCACAUAGUGCACAGACAUUCAUGCAAGCAAACAACCUAAUCAAAUAAAUCUUAUUUUUUGGACUCACAGUUUCUCUCUGUAGUCCUGGCUGUCCCGGAACUCACUGUAUAGACUAGACUGGCCUCGUACUCUUCCAGAUGUACCUGCUUCUGCUUCCGAAGUGGUGGGAUUAAAGACUGCCUGGUAAAC